rnacentral:rRNA from 1 species
UACGGAGACUGCAAGCGUUAUUCGGAUUCACUGGGCGUAAAGGGUGCGCAGGCGGCCGUGUGUGUGAGGCGUGAAAGCCCGACGCUUAACGUCGGAAUUGCACCUCAAACUACAUGGCUAGAGCAUUGGAGAGGGUAGCGGAAUUCACGGUGUAGCAGUGAAAUGCGUAGAUAUCGUGAGGAACACCAGAGGCGAAGGCGGCUACCUGGACAAUUGCUGACGCUCAGGCACGAAAGCGUGGGGAGCAAAAGGG